rnacentral:lncRNA from 1 species
GGUGGAGGGGGCGGAGGGGAUGGCGGAGGAGGUGGUGGAGGGGAUGGUGGAGGAGGUGGUGGGGAGGGUGAAGGGGCUGGUGGAAAUGGUGGAGGGGGUGAAGGGGAUGGCGGAGGAGGUGGAGGGGGCGAAGGGGGUGGUGGAGAUGGUGGAGGGGGUGGUGGGGAGGGCGAAGGGGGUGGUGGAGAUGGUGGAGGGGGUGGAGGGGAUGGCGGAGGAGGUGGAGGGGGCGAAGGGGAUGGUGGAGGAGGGCAUGGUGGAGGAGGUGGUGGAGGGGAUGGUGGAGGAGGUGGUGGGGAGGGUGAAGGGGCUGGUGGAAAUGGUGGAGGAGGGCAUGGUGGAGGAGGUGGUGGGGAGGGUGAAGGGGCUGGUGGAAAUGGUGGAGGAGGGCAUGGUGGAGGAGGUGGUGGAGGGGAUGGUGGAGGAGGUGGUGGGGAGGGUGAAGGGGCUGGUGGAAAUGGUGGAGGAGGGCAUGGUGGAGGAGGUGGUGGGGAGGGUGAAGGGGCUGGUGGAAAUGGUGGAGGGGGUGAAGGGGAUGGCGGAGGAGGUGGAGGGGGCGAAGGGGAUGGUGGAGGAGGGCAUGGUGGAGGAGGUGGUGGAGGGGAUGGUGGAGGAGGUGGUGGAGGGGAUGGUGGAGGAGGUGGUGGGGAGGGCGAAGGGGGUGGUGGAGAUGGUGGAGGGGGUGGUGGGGAGGGCGAAGGGGGUGGUGGAGAUGGUGGAGGGGGUGGAGGGGAUGGCGGAGGAGGUGGAGGGGGCGAAGGGGGUGGUGGAGAUGGUGGAGGGGGUGGUGGGGAGGGCGAAGGGGGUGGUGGAGAUGGUGGAGGGGGUGGAGGGGAUGGCGGAGGAGGUGGAGGGGGCGAAGGGGAUGGUGGAGGAGGGCAUGGUGGAGGAGGUGGUGGGGAGGGCGAAGGGGGUGGUGGAGAUGGUGGAGGGGGUGGAGGGGAUGGCGGAGGAGGUGGUGGAGGGGAUGGUGGAGGAGGUGGUGGAGGGGAUGGUGGAGGAGGUGGUGGAGGGGAUGGUGGAGGAGGUGGUGGGGAGGGCGAAGGGGGUGGUGGAGAUGGUGGAGGGGGUGGUGGGGAGGGCGAAGGGGGUGGUGGAGAUGGUGGAGGGGGUGGAGGGGAUGGCGGAGGAGGUGGUGGAGGGGGCAGAGGGGAAGGUGAAGGAGGUGGUGGAGGGAAUGGUGAAGGAGGUGGUGGAACAACUGGAGACGGAUAAGGUAAGGGUGGAGGAGGGGAUGGUGGAUGAGGUGGUGGAACGGUUGGAGAUGGAUAAGGAUAUGGUGCAAAAGGUGGUUGAGGGGAUGGGGGCGGAGGUGGUGGAGGGAAUAGUGGAACGUCUGGAGAUGGCGGAGGGGAUGGUGGAGGAGGUGGUGGAACGAUCGGAGACGGAUAAGGAAAUGGUGCAGAAGGCGGUGGAGGGGGUGGAGGGGAUGGUGGAGUAGGUGGUGGAAUGGCUGGAGACGGAUAAGGAGAUGGCUCGGAAGGUGGUGGAGGGGGCGGAGACGGAGAUGGUGCAGAAGGUGGUGGAGGGGGAGAAGUAGAUGGAGGAGGUGCAGAAGGUGGUGGAGGGGGAGAAGGGGAUGGAGGAGGUGGUGGAAUGGCUGAAGAUGGGGGAGUGGGCAGAGGGAAUGGUGGAGGAGGUGGUUGAACGGCCGGAGAUGGAUAAGGAGAUAAUACAAAAGAUAAUUCCUUCGUCGGAUAAGAAGCCAAUGAAUUAAUGGCACAAACACCAUAUGGCAAAUCACCGUUUCUUCUUAUAUAUCCAUACCCCUCCACUCCCCAUGAUGUACCCCAUGAAUUCUUGAUUAUCCAGUAGUCAU